GUCUGCGUAGCUAAGUGGUAUAGCGUGGGAUUGCAAAUCCUGAGGUCGCGUGUUCGAUCCACGCCGCAGACU
rnacentral:tRNA from 1 species